rnacentral:rRNA from 1 species
CGAUAGCGUAUAUUAAAGUUGUUGCAGUUAAAAAGCUCGUAGUUGGAUUUGUGGCGUACGGUGUGUUCCGGGCACUUGUUGUCUGAGUAACCUGCUGUUGCCAUCCUUGGGUGGAACCUGUGUGGCAUUAGGUUGUCGUGCAGGGGAUGCCCAUCAUUUACUGUGAAAAAAUUAGAGUGUUCAAAGCAGGCUUAUGCCGUUGAAUAUAUUAGCAUGGAAUAAUGAGAUAGGACUUUUUUGCUAUUUUGUUGGUUUGCGCAAGAAGGUAAUGAUUAAUAGGGACAGUUGGGGGUAUUCGUAUUCCAUUGUCAGAGGUGAAAUUCUUGGAUUUUUGGAAGACGAACUACUGCGAAAGCAUUUACCAAGGAUGUUUUCAUUAA